AGGAAGUUCUUUCCUUCAAUUUAUAUGAUGACUCUGAGUGCAUUUGGCUCGAGGUGGAGGCGGCUUUCAUGCUGUCUACACCGGUGUGGAAAAACUCAAGCUACCUAUACAAUUUUGUCUGACU
rnacentral:snoRNA from 1 species